rnacentral:rRNA from 1 species
GAUGAACGCUGGCGGCGUGCCUAAUACAUGCAAGUCGAGCGAAUGGAUUAAGAGCUUGCUCUUAUGAAGUUAGCGGCGGACGGGUGAGUAACACGUGGGUAACCUGCCCAUAAGACUGGGGUAACUCCGGGAAACCGGGGCUAAUACCGGAUAACAUUUUGAACCGCAUGGUUCGAAAUUGAAAGGCGGCUUCGGCUGUCACUUAUGGAUGGACCCGCGUCGCAUUAGCUAGUUGGUGAGGUAACGGCUCACCAAGGCAACGAUGCGUAGCCGACCUGAGAGGGUGAUCGGCCACACUGGGACUGAGACACGGCCCAGACUCCUACGGGAGGCAGCAGUAGGGAAUCUUCCGCAAUGGACGAAAGUCUGACGGAGCAACGCCGCGUGAGUGAUGAAGGCUUUCGGGUCGUAAAACUCUGUUGUUAGGGAAGAACAAGUGCUAGUUGAAUAAGCUGGCACCUUGACGGUACCUAACCAGAAAGCCACGGCUAAUUACGUGCCAGCAGCCGCGGUAA